rnacentral:rRNA from 1 species
AUUGAACGCUGGCGGCAGGCCUAACACAUGCAAGUCGAACGAGGGGCGGACGGGUGAGUAAUGUCUGGGAAACUGCCUGAUGGAGGGGGAUAACUACUGGAAACGGUAGCUAAUACCGCAUACCAUCAGAUGUGCCCAGAUGGGAUUAGCUUGUAGGUGGGGUAAAGGCUCACCUAGGCGACGAUCCCUAGCUGGUCUGAGAGGAUGCACAGCCACACUGGAACUGAGACACGGUCCAGACUCCUACGGGAGGCAGCAGUGGGGAAUAUUGCACAAUGGGCGCAAGCCUGAUGCAGCCAUGCCGCGUGUAUGAAGAAGGCCUUAGGGUUGUAAAGUACUUUCAGCGGGGAGGCGUUACCCGCAGAAGAAGCACCGGCUAACUCCGUGCCAGCAGCCGCGGUAAUUC